rnacentral:rRNA from 1 species
UACGUAGGUGGAAGCGUUGUCCGGAUUUACUGGGCGUAAAGAGCGCGCAGGCGGUCGUUCAAGUCGCGUGUGAAAGCCCCCGGCUCAACUGGGGAGGGUCACGCGAUACUGAUCGACUCGAAGGCAGGAGAGGGUAGUGGAAUUCCCGGUGUAGUGGUGAAAUGCGUAGAUAUCGGGAGGAACACCAGUGGCGAAGGCGACUACCUGGCCUGUUCUUGACGCUGAGGCGCGAAAGCUAGGGGAGCAAACGGGG